UAAGAAGAGAAGGAAAAAAAAAAAGAUUCAGACAGCACAAGAACCUAUUACUCUUAAUAUUUGACACACAUUAAUCAAACAGCACACUGUGGCAAAGUUCAUAAAGGAUGAAAGCAUAAGUGAUCAAGAAGCCCUAAAAAGGCAACUCCCCCUAGUAAAUUUUUAAACUUCCAAUGUCAUGACACAGCAGCACAAGUUUGGAUCGUCGCUAUAAGCUAGAAAUAGGUGCCUUCCGGGGGCUGAACUAGCUUGCGAUUGUGAGGAGAAGCCAUCUCCUUUUUCAGCUGAACCAGUAUGUCUUCCAUGGUGUACUCUCGCUGCCAAUUAGCAAGAAGUCCAAAUUUCUUUGACUCAACCACUCCAGUUUCAUGGUUCACGCAUGUCAUGUUGACUCUUGAAUGAAAACGAAC
rnacentral:misc_RNA from 1 species